GGCUCAUUGGUCUAGGGGUAUGAUUCUCACUUAGGGUGCUAGAGGACCCAGGUUCAAACACCGGACGAGCCC